UACGUAGGGGGCGAGCGUUGUCCGGAAUCAUUGGGCGUAAAGAGCGUGUAGGCGGCUUGGCAAGUCUGACGUGAAAGCCCGCGGCUCAACCGCGGAUUGUCGUUGGAAACUGCCUCGCUAGAGUCCGGAAGAGGAGAGCGGAAUUCCUGGUGUAGCGGUGGAAUGCGCAGAUAUCAGGAAGAACACCCGUGGCUAAGGCGGCUCUCUAGUAGCGGUACUGACGCUGAGACGCGAAAGCGUGGGGAGCGAACAGG
rnacentral:rRNA from 1 species